rnacentral:lncRNA from 1 species
UGUUUUUUACAUGUGUCACUCGACUAUUGCAAAUUCUUGUUUUCGUAUGCUUUUUGCGCCUUUCUGUGGAAUUUUGGCCCCAUCAAUUCCUUGACAUUAUUUUAGUGAUUAUAUUGUGCCUCAAAGAUAAAGUGUUGAGGAAAAUCGUGAAGGAGAAGAAAGUUGACUAAGCUAGAAUUGUUGUACAUAACCAAGUCAUUAACUCGUAUGUUAUGUCUAAAGGUUUGGUGAAUGUUAAAGAGAACUUUAAUAAUGAGAAUAAGGUUUUACUCUUGUUGAGUUUGUUACCCAAAUCUUUUGAACAUUUCAAGGAUGCACUUCUUUAUGAAAAUGAAUCCAUAUAUUACCUUGGAGGUGGUCCAAUCGGCAAUUAGAACCAAGGGGAUAACCAUACUGAAGAAUUGAAGGUGGAAGAAAGUGGGAAAGACUUGAUUGUCUCAAGAGGAAGAUGCGAGAUCAAAAGAAAUUGAGCUAGAUAAAAUCAAGGGGUGGUGAUAGGUCGAAGUACAUGUGAUUCAAUUGCCAACAACAAUUGUUAUGAGUUGGGGGAUGACGAUUUCGUGCAAGUUGAAGUUCUUAGAGGAAGAUUAUGCGAGUGGGUAGGCGCUUAUGAUGACAAAUUGGGAAUCCUAGAAGAUUUAUGUCAUGAAUUAUGGAUGCUCUUAUCACAUGUGUCCAACGGAGGAAUACUUUGAGACUCUCAAGUUCGAAGUAGGUGUAGUUGUUUACCUUAAAAACGACAAAGCUUGUAAAGUUGUGAGGUUCAAGGUAUGGGUUUUGUUCAUCUUGUGAUGUUUGACAAUCAAGUUUAUUUUGUGAGUUGUGAAGUGUGUUCCUGAACAUAAUAAAAAUUUGUUAUUAUUAAGCAUGUUUAGAUAAGGUUAUGUCAAUAGAAUUGAGCGUAUGGGAAAAAAUUUGCAUGAUAAAAAAUAAUAGUUAGUGGUAACAAAAUGUGUGGGUUGUCGGUACUAAAUAAUGUACUAUUAUUGGUUAUGUAUCAUAACUAGUCAAGACUCGCAUGAUAAAUAUGAGCUGUGGGAUUUUAGGUUAGGGCAUGUUACAUGCAUGGUAAAUAUGAGCUAUGGGAUUUUAGGUUAGAGCAUGUUGAGAAUUAACAAUGGUCUGGAGUCUGUUUCACAACAAUUUAAUGAGUUUUACAUGUUAAAGGGUAUUACAAGGCAUAAUAGAUGUAUGUGUUUCGGAGAUGAGUGGCCCGCAUGUUUCUAGAGUUAAGUUGUGGAGGACAAAACUUAGUUUGAGGGGAAGCCUACUAAUUGAGACGAGAAGAAUACAUGAAUUGGGUUGUCAAUCUAUCUUCUUAUUUUUGUUAAGGUAAAAUGUUUAACUUUUUUUUUUUUAUGUUUACACAUAACGAUGUUAUUUUAUAGAGUAAUUAAGGUCUGUUUAGAUUGACUUGUUUGAAUUUAUUGACAUAAGUUUGGUAUGAUUAAUUGAGACUUUUGAUAUAUUUACAAG